AUACAAAUAUUCACAGCAGUGAGUGAAAGCCAUUGCAUUGUGUGAAACUUGCAGUGCCCAGAAAAGCAAAAAUGAAAAUUAUUUCCUCCCACUCCUCUUUAAUUGCAUCUGUUCAUAGGUACACAUAGACCUGUAUAAUUUUUACAGUUGGGAAAAAAUGCUUUUGCUAGUGAAAUAUUCAAUUUUAAAAUGAGAUAAAAUGAAAAACAGGAUUUUAAAUUUAAGAGCCAAUCUUUCAGAUUCAAUUUUUUUCUAGGUAAAGUAAGGUAUACAUAAGCUUGUCUGGCGAAAAUGCACCAUUAUGCAGAAAACAGACUA